GAACGCAUCUUGCGCUCCUUGGUAUUCCGAGGAGCAUGCCUGUUUGAGUGUCAUUCAACUUCUCAACCACAUCAGAUAUCAUGAUGUCGGCUUGGAUGUGGGGGUUUGUUUUUUUGCAGGCUUUCCGUAAAAAAGAAGGUCGGCUCCCCUGAAAUGUAUUAGUGGUAUCUGAGGCUACUAGGUGUGAUAAUUAUCUAUGCCUUUGGUAUGCUGCAUGAAACAGAUUACACUGCUUCGAACCAAAAAAAUUAUGAAUUUGACCUCAAAUCAGGUAGGACUACCUGCUGAACUUAAG
rnacentral:misc_RNA from 1 species